GACGAACGCUGGCGGCGUGCUUAACACAUGCAAGUCGAGCGGUAAGGCCCUUUCGGGGGUACGACGAGCGGCGAACGGGUGAGUAACACGUGGGUGACCUGCCCUCAGCUCUGGGAUAAGCCUGGGAAACCGGGUCUAAUGCCGGAUAUGACUCCAUGACGCAUGUUGUGGGGUGGAAAGCCUUGUGCGGCUGAGGAUGGGCCCGCGGCCUAUCAGCUUGUUGGUGGGGUGANGGCCUACCAAGGCGACGACGGGUAGCCGGCCUGAGAGGGCGACCGGCCACACUGGGACUGAGACACGGCCCAGACUCCUACGGGAGGCAGCAGUGGGGAAUCUUGCGCAAUGGGCGAAAGCCUGACGCAGCGACGCCGCGUGAGGGAUGACGGCCUGGUGUAAC
rnacentral:rRNA from 1 species